GGUUUGUUAGCUCAGUGGUAGAGCAACCAGCCAAGGCUGGUGUGUCGCAGGUUCGACUCCUGUGCAAGCCUCCU
rnacentral:tRNA from 1 species